UACGUAGGGGGCGAGCGUUGUCCGGAUUUAUUGGGCGUAAAGAGCUCGUAGGCGGUUCGAUAAGUCGGACGUGAAAUCUCCACGCUCAACGUGGAGGGGCCGUUCGAUACUGUCGUGACUCGAGUCCGGUAGGGGAGUGUGGAAUUCCCGGUGUAGCGGUGAAAUGCGCAGAGAUCGGGAGGAACACCCGUAGCGAAGGCGGCACUCUGUGCCGGUACUGACGCUGAGGAGCGAAAGCGUGGGGAGCAAACAGG
rnacentral:rRNA from 1 species